rnacentral:ncRNA from 1 species
CUGAAAUUCCCCUCAGAAUAGCUGAGUACGUAAUGAAGCUGUUACAUUCGGUAAAGCGAAUGAUUAGAGGAAAUGUGGGACGAAACGUCUUCAACUAUCCUCAAAUUUUCGAUGAGUACGACGUCUUGCUUGCUUGAAUGAAGCAUAGAGAUUGAAUGUGUCCUCUAAAAGGCCAUUUUUGGCAAGUGGAACUGACAUUAUAGGAUGGAGCAAACGUUGAGUUAAGCUAUAAUUCAAUAAUCUAUAAGAUUAAGGAUGAAAUUGAAGUUUUGUAUG